rnacentral:lncRNA from 1 species
CAUCAGCAAAAUUAGAGGUACCAACAACGAGGGUAAAUAAGUCUCCCCUCGUUGCCAAAGAAUUAGAUGACUGAGAUUGUCAAUGACAAUCUCAGAUUUCAGCUGCCAAAGGACUUUAUUUUCCUUCUUACAUCAUCCAAUAAUAUUCAAACGAGUCUCCUUCCACAUCGCAGAAAGUCCCCAAAUUUCUUCCAAUAAAGAUCUUCAAACGUUGAAGAAGAGCAGAAAAUUCAGCGAAAAUCGAUUGUAAUUCCAAUGAAGCCAGCAAAGAAAAACAUGAUAUUACCGUUCCAAUGUCUAACAACCCCUCAAUACCUACCUCACUAAGAUUAUUAAAUGAGCUUCCAUCAAAAUAAGUUUAAAGCAACCCUGAACAAAGGGGGGGGGGGGGGGGGUUUCAGUGUCUCUCUCUCAAUAUUUGCUCCGGUGUUCUUUUGGCCAUCUUAUAUCUUGUUUCAAUCUCUCAAAGAAAGCAUUGUAAUUGUAAUGUCCACACUCAUGACAUAUAUAUAUAUAUGGUCACAAUAGGGUAAACAAAGACAUUUUUUUUUUUUUAUAACGGUAAACAAAAACUUUUUGCCAUCAAAAUAUAAAGACAUUUGCAAUUGUAGGGAUGGCAAUGGACUCGGACCCAACCUGGGAUCCAACAGGUAGACCUAAUCUGCAUCCGGGUCCAAAUUUUGAACCCGAACACUAUUUGGGUUCGGUCUGAGUUCGAUCAGGUCCAAUCGGGUUUGGUCCCAAGUUAUAUUUUUUAGCUUAUAUAGCUGUUGUGAUUUUUAUGUCGGGUUCAAUUGGGUUCAGUUGGAUUUGGGUUAGGUCCCACAUUAUAUUUUUUAAUCCAAGUUUGGGUCCGGUGACUUCAAGUUUGGGCCGAGUCCAGCCAGACCCGACCCAUUGCCACCCCUAUAGCAUUAAAUGUUUGGUUUUUGACUUUCAAUAUGCAUCAUACUAGUCCCGGUUGGAUCCCUGAAAUUUGAAUAAACUGUUGAACUUUGAACUCAAAAAAUCACGUACUAUGGUGGUUGUAAUACGGUGGGAUAAAGAGAAAAGGCACGUUACCGUGUUGUCGGUUUCAUACUUGUCUUCCUAAUAAAAAAUUGGGAGUCAUUUAAUAAUAGGCAUUGUGGUAUCUUCUAGGAGUUUUCGAUUCAAUGGAAGAAACUUAAUUUUAAUUUAAGGGCAUAUUUAAUACGCGUGAAAAUAUUUCUGUCCAGAAAAGACUUCAUCAUCAUGUGAUUACAUAUAGGAGUUUUUUACACUAAUUAGUCCCAACAUAUUUUUUCUAACCAAUUAAAAAUUGUUAGAAUUUGUGGGAACAUAGAAUGGAGAGACCAUGUUAGAAUUUGUGGGAGCAUAGAAUGGAGAGACCAUAUUAGAAUUUGUGGGAGCAUAGAAUGGAGAGACGAUGUCAGAAUUUGUGGGAGCAUAGAAUGGAGAGACUAUAUUAGAAUUUGUGGGAGGAUAGAAUUGAGAGAGGACAUAACAGUUAUGUGGUUCAGGC